GGACGGUUGCCUGAGAGGCUGAAAGGACUCAGCUUAUACCUGAGCAAAGCGUGGCACGCUUUCAGAGGUUCGAAUCCUCUACCGUCCG
rnacentral:tRNA from 1 species